rnacentral:rRNA from 1 species
GCACAAGCGGUGGAUGAUGUGGUUUAAUUCGAUGCAACGCGAAAACUUACCACCUUUGACAUGUACGGAACCCUUUAGAGAUAGAGGGGUGCUCGAAAGAGAGCCGUAACACAGGUGCUGCAUGGCUGUCGUCAGCUCGUGUCGUGAGGUGUAUGGUUAAGUCCUGCAACGAGCGCAACCCUUAUUGCCAGUUAUAUUCUCUGGCGAUACUGCCUCGCAAAACGGGGAGGAAGGUGGGGAUGACGUCAAGUCAGCAUGGCCUUUAUACCCUGGGCUACACACACGCUACAAUGGAUGGUACAAUGGGUUGCCACCGGGCGACCGGGAGCUAAUCCCCAAAACCAUCCUCAGUUCGGAUCGCAGGCUGAAACCCGCCUGCGUGAAGUCGGAGUUGCUAGUAAACGCGUGUCAGCAUAGCGCGUUGAAUACGUUCUCGGGCCUU